AGGAAUUUUGACACUGAUGUUGAUAGCACUUCGUUGUCAAAAGAAUUGGAAAAAAUUUUCAGGACAAGAUGCUCCCUGGGAAUGCUUGUUAAAGGGGAGAAGUACUUCUGUCUGCAUCUAGUGAAGUCAGCCCUAUAGUAGAUGAAAUACUAAACUGCUCUGGCCAGAGAUUACACAUCCUGAUGCUCACAGAGUCUUCCAUAGAACAUAUUGCAAGGCAUAAGCAGGCAGCAGAAGUAGAGGAGCUCAAGAUUUAUGAUCGUCUUACUAGCAGAACUACUCUUCCUCCCCAGUAAAGCUUCAAGAAUGAAAUGAAGGGCA
rnacentral:lncRNA from 1 species